UCUGACGUCAGUGAAUCAUCGAAUCUUUGAACGCACUUUGCACCUCGUGGCUCCUGUCACGAGGUAUACUUGUUUGAGUAUCCGUAACCAUCUCACCUCUCCCUCGGGGCGGUGGACAUUGGGAUUCGAUGCGCAGUAGCGAGUCGUCUCUUAAAAACUAUGGCCCACUUGUGGAAGGUCUCCGCAGGGACCUGACCGACCAUUUGGAUAACGUCCUACGAUUGUCGCGUCAGAGUCAACUACUGCGUUGACCGACCUCGGCCACCCCGAUCAAGCGAACAUCACUAACCAGGUGUUUGGGCGAUCAGCUAUCACUUAGCACUGGAUCUCAAAUCAAGUAAGGAUACCCGCUGAACUUAAGCAUAUCAAUAAGCGGAGG
rnacentral:rRNA from 1 species